CCAGCUGAAUUUAAGCAUAUUACUAAGAGGAGGAAAAGAAACUAAGAAGGAUUUCCUUAAUAGCGGCGAGGAAUGAGCGUA
rnacentral:ncRNA from 1 species